UACGUAGGGCGCGAGCGUUGUCCGGAAUUAUUGGGCGUAAAGAGCUCGUAGGCGGCUUGUCACGUCGGGUGUGAAAGACCGGGGCUUAACUCCGGUUCUGCAUUCGAUACGGGCUAGCUAGAGUGUGGUAGGGGAGAUCGGAAUUCCUGGUGUAGCGGUGAAAUGCGCAGAUAUCAGGAGGAACACCGGUGGCGAAGGCGGAUCUCUGGGCCAUUACUGACGCUGAGAAGCGAAAGCAUGGGGAGCGAACAGG
rnacentral:rRNA from 1 species